UACAAAUGAUGUUUGCCAAAUCUGUAUGAUUACAAGGGAAAAGCUCACGAUGGAGCAAAAAGCCAAGACUCUGAUUAUAACAUGUUUGUAACUAGGUCAAGAGGGGAAACUCUCAACUCAAAGAGAAACGACAGGCAAGAAACAAUCAAAUGGCAUCUCAGGUUGCCUUUGGGAGCUGAUUGCUGUGCUAGCUGGUGGCGAGUACCUACAGGUCACAGACGAGCAACAUUGUCCUUGGCCAGGAAAGAGGUAUGUGUGUGUCAGCAUCCAGAACCGUGGCUCUCUCUCCCUGCAGAGAUGGACAGAUGCCAUUUCUGAACACAGUAGACCUUGAAUGUGGUGUAGGAUUCUUGAGGUCUAACUUGCUGAGGUUGUUGGAGCUUCAGGGAAUACCUGGGACAAAGAUGUAAAGGAUGGAUGGACUCCCUCCAGCCAGCUGAGCCACCCCUAUCCUACUCAGAAAGCCAGCAAGUCCCCCUCAGGACACAGACACCUUGGAAGACCCAGUAUCUACUCAGAUAAUAGAUCCUGAAGCUUCCCAGUGACAUUAGAACGAUCCUCGCCUCUUAGGAUACAAAUAGAGAAGAGCACUGAUGCCUAUUCUGGUUGCUUGAAGCCUUGUGUCGGAAAAGAUCAUGAGCAAGCAUGGGGAUUAAAAAAAGCCCGAGGACCCUCAUCAGCAUACUAUCAUCAUCCAGGCUGGUGCCACGUGUGUGCGCUGUGCCCAAGGGGACUCUGAGCUGGUCCUGGGGGUCUCAGGUGGUUCUGCCUGCCCUGCUCUUGGCCCUGAGUGACCAGGAUGGAAGGAAUCCCUGAAAAAAGCAGCUCUUCUCUCCAGACUCUCCUGGACUUGGACGCACCCCUGACCAAGCUUCCCUGCUUCUCACCUGCAGUCACCUUUGCCCUCCAUUGGUUAUUAUGAAAACUGAACUGUCCUCCUUGAGCCAAAUCAUUGUCCAGCUCCCCUUCAGUGCCUGGGUUUCCUGGAAGGCCUUUCAAUCAGCUUCCUUAUUCACUCAUAUCAGGGCAGAAAUAAAUUAGAAAAAAAAAAAAAACUGCUGAAUUUU
rnacentral:lncRNA from 1 species